GAUGAACGCUGGCGGCGUGCCUAAUACAUGCAAGUCGAGCGGCAGCACGGUCUUCGGACUGGUGGUGAGCGGCGGACGGGUGAGUAACGCGUGGGUAACCUGCCCUGUACACACGGAUAACAUACCGAAAGGUAUGCUAAUACGAGAUAAUAUACUUUUAUCGCAUGGUAGAAGUAUCAAAGCUUUUGCGGUACAGGAUGGACCCGGGUCUGAUGCGCUAGUUUGUAAGGUAACGGCUUACAAAGGCGACGAUCAGUAGCCGACCUGGGAGGGUGAUCGGCCACAUUGGAACUGAAACACGGUCCAAACUCCUACGGGAGGCAGCAGUGGGGAAUAUUGCACAAUGGGCGAAAGCCUGAUGCAGCAACGCCGCGUGAGCGAUGAAGGCCUUCGGGUCGUAAAGCUCUGUCCUCAUGGAAGAUAAUGACGGUACUUGAGGAGGAAGCCCCGGCUAACUACGUGCCAGCAGCCGCCGUAA
rnacentral:rRNA from 1 species